rfam:Herbaspirillum sp. YR522 PMI40_contig_3.3, whole genome shotgun sequence.
GGGGGCGACUUGGUUUCGACGUGGGUUGCAAAGCAGCGCAGGGCAUACCGAGGCCUGACUACCUCGUAAAUCCAAUCAGACAAGUAAUAACUGCUAACGAUAACUCGUACGCACAAGCGGCUUAAUCCCCGUUUGCUCUGCACUACUUCUUCCUUGGGGUAGGCUGGUAAAACAGCGGUAGAGUCAUUUACAAGGAAUCGCCUUGGGCCGGGUCACUUGGUUCGAGGUUAAAUUCAAGGUGACUCGCCUUGACGAAGCGUGCGCGUCCGCGUCGUCUGGGUUAAAACAAAUGGCAGCGCUAAGUAUGUAGAACUGUCUGUAGAGUGCUUGCGGACGCGGGUUCGAUUCCCGCCGCCUCCACCA